CGAGCAUGGAUUAAUGAUCACCAACAUGAGGAGAUCAUAAGGAUGGAUAGCAUGUCUACGGGCUCAAGUAUGGAGGCUAACGGGUCAAAAGGAAGCAUGGAACCUAUGCUUGAACUUGGGCGCACAAGGUAGUACGAAUCACAGAUUUUCAUCACAAGGAGUAGCGAUCAAAGACCGAGUCACAAGUCAGAUUGUACGGGAAUACUUGACUAUGUAAAUUGAUAGUUAUGAGUUAUGCUUUUGUUAUGUAAAUGAGUAUAAAAGAUGCAUAUAAUGUAAGAAAGUGUUUCAUAAUGAACUUGCUAGUAGGUCAAAACGUUUUUAAUGAAAGAAAUUUUUAUGGAACGAAUUUCCGCUGCGUCUUUUCAGUUAUAACGUGUUAGGGUGUUACAAGUUGGUAUCAGAGCCCUGGUUUGAGAGAAUCAAGUAACGGGAGGUAAAUACUUGAACUCAAACCGGUGUGCUCUCGUUCCCAAGAGCCCGUACAAUCCAAGACUCGAUUGAAGCCUAAAGGCAACAGCGAAUGUAAGUAAGUAUUAGAAUAUGUAAUUGAAGGAUA